GACAAAUUUAUAUUAAGUUUUCUAAACUUUUUUGGGCUUAUGCUGUUUGUUU
rnacentral:tRNA from 1 species